CAGUAGCCGCGGUAAUACGAAGGGUGCAAGCGUUAAUCGGAAUUACUGGGCGUAAAGCGUGCGUAGGCGGUGAGUUAAGUCUGCUGUGAAAUCCCCGGGCUCAACCUGGGAAUGGCAGUGGAUACUGGCUCGCUAGAGUGUGUCAGAGGAUGGUGGAAUUCCCGGUGUAGCGGUGAAAUGCGUAGAGAUCGGGAGGAACAUCAGUGGCGAAGGCGGCCAUCUGGGACAACACUGACGCUGAGGCACGAAAGCGUGGGAAGCAAACAGGAUUAGAUACCCCCGUAGUCCCUGUCUCUUAUAC
rnacentral:rRNA from 1 species